UACGUAGGGUGCAAGCGUUGUCCGGAAUUAUUGGGCGUAAAGAGCUCGUAGGCGGUUUGUCGCGUCUGCUGUGAAAACCCGAGGCUCAACCUCGGGCCUGCAGUGGGUACGGGCAGACUAGAGUGCGGUAGGGGAGAUUGGAAUUCCUGGUGUAGCGGUGGAAUGCGCAGAUAUCGGGAGGAACACCGAUGGCGAAGGCAGAUCUCUGGGCCGUAACUGACGCUGAGGAGCGAAAGCAUGGGGAGCGAACAGG
rnacentral:rRNA from 1 species